UUUAGUCAGGCAACGAGCGAGAUCUGUACCUACACUUGCUAACAAAUCUUUUAAGAUGAUUGAGCACAGUGUAGGGACUGCCCUCGAAAGGGGGAGGAAGGUGCAGGCUACGGUAGGUCUGUAUGGUCCGAAUCUGUUGGGCUACACGCGCGCAACAAUGGUAAAGACAAUGGGAUGCAACUCUGAAAAGAGAAGCUAAUCCUCCAAACUUUAUCUCAGUCCAGAUUGAGGAUUGUAACUCAUCCUCAUGACGAUGGAAUCCCUAGUAAUCAGAUUUUAUCAUAGUCUGGUGAAUAUGUCCCUGCUCCUUGCACA
rnacentral:rRNA from 1 species